UACGUAGGGUGCGAGCGUUAAUCGGAAUUACUGGGCGUAAAGCGUGCGCAGGCGGUUUUGUAAGCCAGAUGUGAAAGCCCCGGGCUUAACCUGGGAAUGGCAUUUGGGACUGCAAGGCUGGAGUGUGGCAGAGGAGACGUGGAAUUCCUGGUGUAGCAGUGAAAUGCGUAGAGUAUCAGGAGGAAUACCGAUGGCGAAGGCAGGUCGUCGUGGGCUAACCACUGACGCUCAUGCACGAAAGAGCGGG
rnacentral:rRNA from 1 species